rnacentral:ncRNA from 1 species
UAAAAAGUUAUGACAGGAUUCAGUAGUGUCUUAUCUCCCUGUAAUAGAGAGCCGAUGGUUGGUGGAAAUCGGAACAAAGAUAAGGGCGAAUUACCUCCUCGAGCUUUCUUUGCGAAAAAUGAAGUAGCAAAGAACGGACGUACCGUUAUACGUUUGAGCGGAAGAGCAUAUUCUUCAAUGAGGGUGGUACCGCGUGUAAGACAGCCACGUCCCUUUU